CUGUGGCUUACGUGAGCAGUGGAAUGCUAAGGGCAAAAAAGGGAGACAGGAUGCAAUUUUCUUUGAAUGUGGCUGCCAUACCCAGCCCUCUGUCCCCGUGCAAUGCCACAGCUUGGACAGUGAUUGAAGAUAUGAUCUCAAAUGAAGCAAACUGUGCAGCCCUGAUGGAUGGAAUCUUUUCUGACACUUUGGGGUCCAUGCCUAUUGGCUGGAGAGACAGGGUGACACCCUCACUUCCUCUUCCUGAGAAGACUAUCAAACCACAAGCUAAUCCAGCAAUGUGACCAAUGAAGACCAACAGGCCUUCCCUUGAAAUCAAGACCUCCAGCAUUGGUCGAUGGAUAGUCAACGAUGGAGGACCCCGACAUAGCUAA